UUCAUGGAGAGUUUGAUCCUGGCUCAGGACGAACGCUGGCGGCGUGCCUAAUACAUGCAAGUCGAGCGCAGGAAGCUGACGGAACUCUUCGGAGGGAAGGCAGUGGAAUGAGCGGCGGACGGGUGAGUAACACGUAAGGAACCUGCCUCAAGGAUUGGGAUAACUCCGAGAAAUCGGAGCUAAUACCGGAUAGUUCAACGGACCGCAUGGUCCGCUGAUGAAAGGCGCUUCGGCGUCACCUUGAGAUGGCCUUGCGGUGCAUUAGCUAGUUGGUGGGGUAACGGCCCACCAAGGCGACGAUGCAUAGCCGACCUGAGAGGGUGAUCGGCCACACUGGGACUGAGACACGGCCCAGACUCCUACGGGAGGCAGCAGUAGGGAAUCUUCCACAAUGGACGAAAGUCUGAUGGAGCAACGCCGCGUGAGUGAUGAAGGUUUUCGGAUCGUAAAACUCUGUUGUAAGGGAAGAACACGUACGAGAGG
rnacentral:rRNA from 1 species